rnacentral:rRNA from 1 species
UGGGGAAUUUUGCGCAAUGGGCGAAAGCCUGACGCAGCGACGCCGCGUGGAGGAUGAAGGCCCUUGGGUUGUAAACUCCUGUCAGGUGGGAAGAAAGACUUUCGGUAAAUAGCCGGGAGUUCUGACUGUACCACCGGAGGAAGCCCCGGCUAACUCCGUGCCAGCAGCCGCGGUAAUACGGAGGGGGCGAGCGUUGUUCGGAAUCAUUGGGCGUAAAGGGCGCGUAGGCGGCCGUCCAAGUCGGGUGUGAAAUCCCUCGGCUCAACCGAGGAACUGCACUCGAUACUGGUCGGCUAGAGUCCGGGAGGGGAUGGUGGAAUUCCCAGUGUAGCGGUGAAAUGCGUAGAUAUUGGGAAGAACACCGGUGGCGAAGGCGGCCAUCUGGACCGGAACUGACGCUGAGGCGCGAAAGCCAGGGGAGCGAAUGG